CAUCUUCCACUUAACGACAUUAACUCUUCUCCGUUCAGGUGAAGAAAUACAUCAAAUUGCAAGAUGGGUUCACAUUUGAGGAGUUUCUAAACGAAG